rnacentral:lncRNA from 1 species
GGGCUCUGACCCUCUUCGAUGCCCUUUUUAGGGGACUUGGGCUUGGUCCGCUGCUGAGGAUGCUUCUCCAGACUAUAGUUCAGAUGUCGAGGGUGCCCGAUUCUCAGGCUGGGCUCUUCCCGGUUCACUCACCGUUAUUAGAGGAAUCCUGGUAAGUUUCUUUUCCACUACUUAUUAAUAUGCUUAAACUCAACGGGUGAUCCAGCCUGACCUGGGGUCGUGACGCGAGCAUUGACCGAGCGAUAUGGGGGGUCUGAAAGGGUCCGGUUGGACAACGAGCAUGCGUCACCGGGGAUGAGGCACGUCGAGAGCUCUACCACCGACGGUCACAGUGCUGUCAUUGCUAGGGACUCACUUUUGGGCCAACUGUGACCCACGGGAUCACGGGAGGCCAUCUUUCGCCCGCCCCCUUCCCUCGGAGCCCGAGGGGCCAGAGGUCGGAGGGAUGGCGACGAUGCAUGACACCCAGGCAGGCGUGCCCUCGGCCUAAUGGCUUGAGGUGCAACUUGCGUUUAAAGACUCGAUGGUUCUCGAGAUUCUACAAUUCACACCAAGUAUCACAUUUCGCUACAUUCUUCAUCGAUGCGAGAGCUGAGAUAUCCGUUGUCGAGAGUCAUUUCAUUUUUUCAUGACAAAAGGAGUCACGGGGCCACCCACGUACGCACCACGGACAGGAUGGCGAUGCCGCGAGCGCUCUAUUUUCAUUUCGGUUCCUUGGUGCGAUUCGUACCGAGGGUUCAUUGUUCGGUGGCCGGUGAGAUGACGCCGAUCGUUCCACCCACCCCGUAGGGGAGACGGAGCAACUGUCGCACCCUCCCAGGUUGAAGGGGGUCGGGGCACGGGGGCACCUUCGCCCCUUCGGUGUUUCAUUAAUGCGUCGACGGGUCAUCCGUCAAGCAGGGUUUCGACAAUGAUCCUUCCACAGGUUCACCUAUGAAAACCUUGUUACGACUUCUUCUUCCUCUAAAUGAUAAGGUUCAGUGGACUUCUCGCGACGUCGUGAGUGGCAGAUUGUCCACGUUGCCACGAUCCGAACACUUCACCAGACCAUUCAAUCGGUAGGAGCGACGGGCGGUGUGUACAAAGGGCAGGGACGUAGUCAACGUGAGCUAAUGACUCGCGCUUACUAGGAAUUCCUCUUUGAAGACCAACAAUUGCAAUGAUCUAUCCCCAUCAUAAUGAAAUUUCAAAGAUUACCCGGGCCUGUCGGCCAAGGCUAUAGACUCGUUGAAUACAUCAGUGUAGCACGCGUGCGGCCUAAAACAUCUAAGGGCAUCACAGACCUGUUAUUGCCUCAAACUUCCUUGGCCUAAGUAGCCAUAGUCCCUCUAAGAAGUUAGCCAUGAAGGAUCACCUCUGCAUAGCUAGUUAGCAGGCUGAGGUCUCGUUCGUUAACGUAAUUAACUAGACAAAUCGCUCCACCAACUAAGAACGACCAUGCACCACCACCCAUAGAAUCAAGAAAGAGCUCUCAGUCUAUCAAUCCUUACUAUGUCUGGACCUGGUAAGUUUCCCCGUGUUGAGUCAAAUUAAGCCGCAGGCUCCAUUCCUAGUGGUGCCCUUUCGUCAAUUCCUUUAAGUUUCAGCCUUGUAACCAUACUCCCUCCGGAACCCAAAGACUUUGAUUUCUCAUAAGGUGCCGGCAGAGUCCUAAAAGCAACAUCCGUCGAUCCCUGGUCGGCAUCGUUUAUGGUUGGGACUAGGACGGUAUCUGAUCAUCUUCGAGCCUUCAACUUUCGUUCUUGAUUAAUGAAACCAUCCUUGGCAAAUGCUUUCGCAGUUGUUCAUCUUUCAUAAAUCCAAGAAUUUCACCUUUGACUAUGAAAUACGAAUGCCCCCGACUAUCCCAGUUAAUCAUUACUUCGAUCUCGAAGGCCAACACAAUAAGAUCGAAAUCCUAUGAUGUUAUCCCAUGCUAAUGUAUACAAGCAUAGGCUUGCUUUGAGCACUCUAAUUUUUUCAAAGUAACAGUGUCAGAGGAAUAACCCGGGUAAUUAAGUCCAGGAGUGCAUCACUGGCAGUAGGGACGAGUAGAUCGGUGUUCAUCGUGAGGGAGAUCGGACGACCCAACCCUAUUUCUAACUACAUGCUUUUUAACUGCAACAACUUAAAUAUAUGCUAUUGGAGCUGGAAUUACCGUGGCUGCUGGCACCAGACUUGCCCUCCAAUGGAUCCUCGUUAAAGGAUUUAGAUUGUACUCAUUCCAAUUACCAGACUCAUAGAGCCCGGUAUUGUUAUUUAUUGUCACUACCUCUCCAUGUCAAGAUUGGGUAAUUUGUGCACCUGCUGCCUUCCUUGGAUGUGGAAGCCGUUUCUCAGCUCCUUCUCCAGAAUCAAACCCUAAUUCUUCGUCACUCGUCACCACCAUAGUACGCCACUAUCCUACCAUCGAAAGUUGAUAGGGCAAAAAUUUGAAUGAUGCGUCACCGGCACAAAGGCCGUGUGAUCCGUCGAGUUAUCAUGAAUCAUCAGAGCAACGGGCAUAGCCCGUGUCGACCUUUUAUCUAAUAAAUGCAUCCCUUCUAGAAGUCAGUGUUUGUUGCACGCAUUAGCUCUAGAAUUACUACGGUUAUCCGAGUAGUAGAUACCAUCAAACAAACUAUAACUGAUUUAAUGAGCCAUUCGUAGUUUCACAGUCUGAAUUAGUUCAUACUUACACAUGCAUGGCUUAAUCUUUGAGACAAGCAUAUGACUAUUGGCAGGAUCAAGCAGGUAGCAUUCAUUCAAGACGUUGGCACCGUAUGGGCCUCGACGUACUGAUCGAGCGGUGGAGAGAGCCCGACGCGGAGUGCAAGCGUCGUGUGUGUCGAGCACGUGAAAUGCGUAGCAUCGAACGAAUGGGGGCCGAGAGCCCGCGCCCGCUAAACGUUCCGCAUCCGAGAGCACGAUCGAAUGUCGAUGCACCAAUGUGGCCAUGGAGGAUUGGCUGGCGUGCUUAGGACACCGGCCACGAUUGACGUUCGACCCGUGGCCCCUCAGGACAUGAGACAGAUGAGGGAUGGCGAGACAUCCAGUUUCCAUCGAUUUAGGUAUGCAACACAGGAUCCCGAUCACGCCCCCUGGGUACGACGACCGCAUGGGGAGAGAUUGAAGAGGAUGACGAGUCAACAGUUUGAUGCAUCGAGCAUGGAGCCUGCCAACACGCACAACCAAAGCACCACUCAUAUGCCCAUUGCAUACAAAUGGCAGCAUCCAUGCGCGCCGGUCCACAACCCACCCGAUCGAUUACUCGAUGAGUGAGCGGAGAAAAUGACGUGCAAGGCCACGUCACAAUCGCUUGGCACGAUAAAAACAUGAGCAAGGGCCAUGAGACUACCCCUGCCAUCCGACAGGCAACAACAAAGCGACACCACCAAUGCUUGGCCCGAUCGGGACCGCACGCGUGAGCUCCCCUGACACCACCCUAGGGGGACAUUGCCCGAUUCAGGGACUUGUUCCUGGGGUCUCGGGCAGUGUCAGCUGCAUGCACAACCUCGUCGAGGCCUAGGCAUUUUUGUGGUCGACAAGAAGGGACCGCGAGACCAUUAAAUAUCGAGAGACCUGGCUGGGCCAAGCCCGCAACCGCGACUUCUGCUCGCACCACCCCAGGGAGCCGUUGCCCGAUUUAGGGACUUGUUCUAGGAUCUAGGAUAGCAUUCGCUGCAUGCACGGGCUCGAGCUCAAUUCCCUUUUUUCAUAUGCACACGAACAGGUUGAGGCCAUGGGUACCUACCGGUCACUGAAGCAACCAGUCGUCGGAUAAAAUGGUCGGAAGGCAUGCACGCCCUGUAUUUCACUCGAGGGACGUUGCUCAGGGUGUACGCAAUGGGAGGCCCAUCACGCACACCUACUCCCCCCGUGGUGGUCGAGGCAACCACCCGCACUGAGGCCCAGCAUGUGCCGAUGGUGGUCGAGGCAACCACCCGCACCAAGGCCCAGCAUGUGCCGAUGGUGUUUGACGCAAUCGCCUACACCAAGGGCCAUCUUGUGCCGAUGGUGGUUGAGGCAAUAGCCGCACCAAGGGUCAGCUUGUGUCGAUGGUGGUCUAGGCAACCGCUUGCACCAAGUGCCAUUUUCUACCGAUAGUGGUCGAGGCAACCACCCGCACCAAGGCCUAGCACAUGCCGAUGGUUUUCGAGGCAACCGCCCGCACCAAGGCCUGACAUGUGUCGAUGGUGGUCGAGGCAACCACCCACACCAAGGGUCGUCUUGUGUCGAUGGUGGUCGAGGCAAUUGCCCGCACUAAGGGUCGGCUUGUGCAGAUGGUGGUCGAGGCAACCGCCUGCACCAAGGGCCAGCUUAUGCCGAUGGUGGUCGAGGCAAUCGCCUGCACCAGGGGCCAUCUUUUACCGAAGGUGGUCGAGGUAACCACCCGCACCAAGGCCCAGCAUGUGCCAAUGGUGGUCGAGGUAAGAGCCCACACCAAGGGUCAGCUUGUAUCGAUGGUGCUCGAGGCAACCGCCUGCACCAGGGGCCAUCUUCUGUCGAUGGUGGUCGAGGCAACCGCCUGCAGCAAGGCCCAGCAUGUGUCGAUGGUGUUCGAGGUAACCGUUCGCACCAAGGCCUAGCAUGUCCCAAUGGUGGUCGAGAUGACCACCCGUACCAAGGCCCAGCAUGUGCCAAUGGUGUUUGACGCAAUCGCUAGCACCAGAGGCCAUCUUGUGCUGAUGGUGGUCGAGGUAACUGCCUGUACCAAGGGUCGGCUAGUGCCGAUGGUGCUCGAGGUAACCGCCCGCACUAAGGCCCGGCACGUACCGAUGGUGUUCGAGGCAACCGCCUGCACCAAGGGCCAUCUUCUACCGAUGGUGGUCGGCAAUCGCCCGCACCAAGACCCAGUAUGUGCCGAUGAUGGUCGAGGUAACCGCCCGCACCAAGGGCCAGCUAGUGCCGAUGGUGCUUGAAGUAACCCCCCGCACCAAGGCCCAGCACAUGCCGAUGGCGUUCGAGGUAACCGCCUGCACCAGGGGCCAUCUUCUACCGAUGGUGGUCGAGGUAACCACCCACACCAAGGCCCAGCAUGUGCCGAUGGUGUUCGAUGCAACCGCCCGCACCAGGGGACAUCUUGUGCCGAUGGUGUCGAGGUAACCACCUGUACCAAGGGCCAGCUGGUGUCAAUGGUGUUCGAGGCAACCGCCCACACCAAGGCUUGACAUGUGCUGAUGGUGGUCAAGGUAAUCGCCCGUACCACGACCCAGCAUGUGCCGAUGGUGUUCGAUGCAACCGCCCUUACCAGGGGUCAUCUUGUGCCGAUAGUGGUCGAGGCAAUCGCCUGCACCAAGGGCCGACUUGUACCGAUGGUGGUUGAGGUAACCACCCACACCAAAGGUCGGCAUGUGCCGAUGGUGAUCGAGGCAACCGCCUGCACCAGGGCCCAGCUUGUGUCGAUGGCGGUCGAGGUAAGUGCCCGUACCAAAGGGCAGCCUGUGCUGAUGAUGGUCGAUGCAUGUGCCAUCACCCUGCACCAUCAUGUGCCAUUGAUGGUCGAGGCCUUGGCCGAAGUUCCAUUUUGAGCCACGGUGCACUUGUUAGGCUCGGGCGUGUGCUGGUGUAGCAUUUUUUUCACUCGGGGCACCAUCGUCGGAGAGCCUAACAGGCGGCAUUGAGGGUUUCGGCGAUUGGGGGCCCGGGGGGUGUGCGCACAUGAUGUGCGAUGGGUGUUGGUACUUGGCCCUUAUAUUGGCCCCCUUCCCUCAUCAAAGCUUGAAACUCACACCCCCUUAAAGAGCAUUUGAGAUUUUAUAGGUUUGCUGCCCAGUAGCCAUUAAAGUGUUUGAAAUGGGGACACUUUUUCAACGUCACAAAAUCUUCUCCACUUUGAGUUUUUAGCUGAAUUGUUUUAUGCAUGCCAAUAAAAAUACAAGGAUCACGUCUACCAAAUUUGAGGACAAAACGCUUUCUAAAAAAAUUUAAAAAAAUCUUGAACCGUAAAAAGUUUCAAAAAUCAUGGAAAAUAGAAAACGGGUCGUCUUGCCAUGAAACUUCACAUGAAGGCUUAGGGGACCAUUGUAUGAAUUUACAAGCCAUAAAAAUGGAAUUGGCAUGGCAGAAAUAUGAAGAUGUGCUUGAACCCAACUACCACCCGUUCGAUCCCCGGCUUGGGCAUCCUGCCUCUUUGGCCGGUUGAGCGUCCGCACUCUCGUUUCGUGGGUUGACAUAGGCAUAUGGAGUUCAUCCCUACUCUAAGCAUACGGAGUUCAUUCCCAGUCUACGAUCAGAUCGGAAUGAGGGUUACGGCAGUAGGAUCGGUAACACGCAGGGGGGACCGGGCUGAUCCCCGACUUGCGCAUUCUACCUCUCUGGCCAGCUGAGUGCCCGUACGCCCGUUUCGUGGGUUGGCUUAGGCAUAGAGAGUUCAUUCCAUGUCUAAGCCUCAGCCAGACCGAGGGUUGUGGCAGCGGGAUUGACAGCACAUAGAGGGGGAUCAGGUCGAUCCUCAACUUGCGCAUUAUACCUCUUCGGCCAGCUCAGUGCCCGCACGCUCAUUUCAAGGGUUGACUUAGGCAUACAGAGUUCAAUCCCAGUCUAAGAUCAGACCAAACCGAGGGUUGCGAUAGCAGGAUCGACAGCACGUAAGGGGGACUGGGCCGAUCCCCGGCUUGCACAUUCUACCUCUUCGACCGGCUGAGCACCCGCACGCUCGUUUCGUGGGUUGGCUUAGGCAUACGAAGUUCAUUCCAUGUCUAAGCCCCAGUCGGACCGAGGGUUGUGGCAGCAAGAUCGGUAGCGGGAUCGACAAUAUGCAGAGGGGGAUCGGGUUGAUCCUUGACUUACGCAUUAUGCCUCUCUGGCUGGCCUGUCCGAUCGACUCAGUGCCCGUACGCUCGUUUCAUGAGUUUACUUAGGCAUACGGAGUUCAUUCCUAGUCUAAGCAUACAGAGUUCAUUCCCAGUCUAAGAAUGAACCGACAGCGGGAUCGGUAGUAGCAUGUAAAGAGGGAUCGAGCCGAUCCUCUGCUUGUACAUCCUAGCUCUCUGGCCGGCUGAGCACCCGCACGCUCGUUUCGUGGGUUGACUUAGGCAUGUAGAGUUCAUUCCCGAUCUAAGCCCCAACCGGACCGAGGGACCCGCAGCUGAUCGACAGCACGCAGAGGGGGAUCGGGUUGAUCCUCGACUUACGCAUUCUAGCUCUCUGGCCUACUGAGCACCCACACGCUCGUUUCAUGGGUUGACUUAGGCAUACAUAGUGCAUUCCCGAUCUCGACCAACCAAGGGCCAGAGGCUAUCGACGAUGUUUGGGGCAACAACCGAGGGGGACCAACAGCAGGAUCCUCAGUCGGCUCGCUCAUCUCACCCCCAGCGGUCGGUUCAGUGCCCGCACGCUCGUUUCGGGGGUCGACCGAGGUGAACGAAUUUCAUUCUCGAUCAGGACCGAGGGACGGGAGGCCCCGGGUCACGCCUAACCCCGAGGGGGCGGCGUGAAAAGAAAGAAGGUCAACGGGGGGAGGGACGAAUCGAAGCGACAAAGGGUUGAAUCUCAGUGGAUCGUGGCAGCAAGGCCACUCUACCACUUACAAUACCCCGU